UACGUAGGGUGCAAGCGUUGUCCGGAAUUAUUGGGCGUAAAGAGCUCGUAGGCGGUUUGUUGCGUCGGCUGUGAAAUCCCGAGGCUCAACCUCGGGCCUGCAGUCGAUACGAGCAAACUAGAGUGUUGCAGGGGAGACUGGAAUUCCUGGUGUAGCGGUGAAAUGCGCAGAUAUCAGGAGGAACACCGGUGGCGAAGGCGGGUCUCUGGGCCGAUACUGACGCUGAGGAGCGAAAGCGUGGGGAGCGAACAGG
rnacentral:rRNA from 1 species